CUUGAUUCCUCUUUCUCUAUAAAUUAAAACACUUGUUCACAUCUUUCUCGAUAUGCAUAUCUACAAUGUUCCAUUCUUUUAUUUCUGCCGAUAUUAAAAUGAAAUUUUCAAGGCUUUUGGGUGGUUUAUUAGAGAUGUGAUCAUGACAAGAAGAGGAAUUGUAUGAACACAAAAAUGGAGAAAUUCUUGAAGCUGGCACAAUCAUUUGCAUUUGUUUGGGGAUUCAUCUUGCUGGCGGCUCUCGUGUGUUGCUGCAUCAGCACUAAACCUAAUCGCGAAAAUGAUGAUGAUGAUACUGGUUGUGCCGCCUGCGACGGAGGGCAUGCCGGAUUUUAGUCGAUGAUCCUCUGUUUCUUUCACUUUUCUUUUUUGGUCCUCUGGUAGAUUUGUACAACAUAGAAUCCUCAUGGCUUAUCUUUUUCAUAAUUACACAAAGCAUUAUUUUGUCUUCUCUUUUAAUAUAGACCAAGUUUAUAUUUCUUUACGUUUGCAUUUCAUGUUCUAGUGAUUAGGAUAUUGCUAUAAACAUAUACAUUGAAUGAAAACGUCGGUUUAUUCAGUUAUGGUUGCAUAAAAUUUGGAUUUGGGUUUAGAUAUUUUGUGUAUAAAAAUUUACAACUGAGU